UCUCCCGAUAGACGUAUCGGAAGAACACCAUCGCAGAAUGACGAAAGGAUAUCCAGAUGUUCCGAAUCAACAUAUGAGCCCCCAUUUGGUCUGGACCGCCUUAGAUCAAUUGAUAACAAUAGCAGAAUCAUCCUUGAUGAAGAUUCUCUCCGUUUGAAACUCCCAUACAGCAAAAGUGAUGCCAGUCCAUGCUGCAUGAAGCUCCGCAU
rnacentral:lncRNA from 1 species